CUACUCUUGUUUCUCUUCAGAUGGCAUAAAUCUCUCGCCUUUUACAAAAGAUUUCCGUGGGGAGGAACAACAAGAGUAUAACUCCAUUUUUUAAAUGAAAGGAUAUCAAGUAG